rnacentral:misc_RNA from 1 species
GAUGAAGAACGCAGCGAAAUGCGAUAAGUAGUGUGAAUUGCAGAAUUCAGUGAAUCAUCGAAUCUUUGAACGCACAUUGCGCCCUUCGGUAUUCCAUGGGGCAUGCCUGUUCGAGCGUCAUUUGUACCUUCAAGCUCUGCUUGGUGUUGGGUGUUUGUCUCGCCUCUGCGUGUAGACUCGCCUUAAAACAAUUGGCAGCCGGCGUAUUGAUUUCGGAGCGCAGUACAUCUCGCGCUUUGCACUCAUAACGACGACGUCCAAAAGUACAUUUUUACACUCUUGACCUCGGAUCAGGUAGGGAUACCCGCUGAACUUAAGCAUAUCAAUAAGCGGAGGA